rnacentral:rRNA from 1 species
AUUGAACGCUGGCGGCAUGCUUUACACAUGCAAGUCGAACGGUAACAGGCCGCAAGGUGCUGACGAGUGGCGAACGGGUGAGUAAUGCAUCGGAACGUGCCCAGUCGUGGGGGAUAACUACUCGAAAGAGUAGCUAUUACCGCAUACGAUCUAUGGAUGAAAGCGGGGGACCGUAAGGCCUCGCGCGAUUGGAGCGGCCGAUGUCAGAUUAGGUAGUUGGUGGGGUAAAGGCUCACCAAGCCAACGAUCUGUAGCUGGUCUGAGAGGACGACCAGCCACACUGGGACUGAGACACGGCCCAGACUCCUACGGGAGGCAGCAGUGGGGAAUUUUGGACAAUGGGCGCAAGCCUGAUCCAGCAAUGCCGCGUGCAGGAAGAAGGCCUUCGGGUUGUAAACUGCUUUUGUACGGAACGAAACGGCUCUGGUUAAUACCCGGGGCUAAUGACGGUACCGUAAGAAUAAGCACCGGCUAACUACGUG